rnacentral:misc_RNA from 1 species
CAACCCUCAGGGCCCGCCUGCUUGCAGGCGCGGCGCUGGCGUUGGGGAUCGGCCCUGACCGGUCGUCCCCCAAAUACAGUGGCGGUCUCGCUGCAGCCUCCCCUGCGUAGUAGCAACACUCGCACGCGGAGCGCGGCGCGGCCACGCCGUAAAACCCCCGACUUUCUGAA